AGUGAACGCUGGCGGUAGGCCUAACACAUGCAAGUCGAACGGCAGCACAGUAAGAGCUUGCUCUUACGGGUGGCGAGUGGCGGACGGGUGAGGAAUACAUCGGAAUCUACUUUUUCGUGGGGGAUAACGUAGGGAAACUUACGCUAAUAUCGCAUACGACCUACGGGUGAAAGCAGGGGAUCUUCGGACCUUGCGCGAUUGAAUGAGCCGAUGUCGGAUUAGCUAGUUGGCGGGGUAAAGGCCCACCAAGGCGACGAUCCGUAGCUGGUCUGAGAGGAUGAUCAGCCACACUGGAACUGAGACACGGUCCAGACUCCUACGGGAGGCAGCAGUGGGGAAUAUUGGACAAUGGGCGCAAGCCUGAUCCAGCCAUACCGCGUGGGUGAGGAAGGCCUUCGGGUUGUAAAGCCCUUUUGUUGGGAAAGAAAAGCAGCAGGUUAAUACCCCGCUGUUCUGACGGUACCCAAAGAAUAAGCACCGGCUAACUUCGUG
rnacentral:rRNA from 1 species